CAUGCAGGCGGUCGGACGCGUUUUGUGUGACAGCGCAUAGCUUAACUGUGCGAGCAUACGAAAGACGGCCUGACUUGAGGGCUCGAGAGGGACACGGAAUUCCGGGUGGAGUGGUGAAAUGCGUAGAGAUCCGGAGGAACACCGAAGGCGAAGGCAGUGUCCUGGCGAGCGACUGACGCUGAGGUGCGAAAGCCAGGGGAGCGAACGGGAUUAGAUACCCCGGUAGUCCUGGCCGUAAACGAUGACCACCAGGUGUGGGAGGUAUCGACCCCUUCCGUGCCGGAGGCAACCCACUGAGUGGUCCGCCUGGGGAGUACGGUCGCAAGAUUAAA
rnacentral:rRNA from 1 species